UCCGGUUUUUCACCGGCAGUCUGGUGUGAGUCCCCAACUUAAUGCUGGCAACACACCACGGGGGUUGCGCUCGUUGCGGGACUUAACCCAACAUCUCACGACACGAGCUGACGACAGCCAUGCAGCAUCUGUGGUGCACCCUCGAAGGUCACACGUUUCCGUGCGCUUGCAGCACCAUGUCAAGUCCAGGUAAGGUUCUUCGCGUUGCAUCGAAUUAAACCGCAUGCUCCACCGCUUGUGCGGGCCCCCGUCAAUUCCUUUGAGUUUCAGCCUUGCGGCCGUACUCCCCAGGCGGGAUGCUUAAAGCGUUAACUGCGCCACUGACCAGCAAGCUGGCCAACGGCUAGCAUCCAUCGUUUACGGCGUGGACUAC
rnacentral:misc_RNA from 1 species